GAAUAUUGGACAAUGGGGGCAACCCUGAUCCAGCGAUGCCGCGUGAGUGAAGAAGGCCUUAGGGUUGUAAAACUCUUUCACCUGUGACGAUGAUGACGGUAACAGGAGAAGAAGCACCGGCUAACUCCGUGCUAGCAGCCGCGGUAAGACGGAGGGUGCUAGCGUUGUUCGGAAUAACUGGGCGUAAAGGGCGCGUAGGCGGUUUUGUUAGUCAGGCGUGAAAGCCCCGGGCUUAACCUGGGAACUGCGUUUGAUACUGCAAGACUUGAGGACGGAAGAGGAAAGUGGAAUUCCUAGUGUAGAGGUGAAAUUCGUAGAUAUUAGGAGGAACACCAGAGGCGAAGGCGGCUUUCCGGUCCGUUACUGACGCUGAGGCGCGAAAGCGUGGGGAGCAAACAGG
rnacentral:rRNA from 1 species